UUUUUGUGUUUGCCCCCCCCCCUCGUAUAGUAAGAGACUAGUGUUAUUCAUCUUAAUUAGGUUUAAAGGGUACCCAGACGGUCAAUAUAGCUUCUAUAAUGUUAGUACUUGACUAGAGUUGUAUAUAAGAGGGCAGUACUUGAGGAGGAGAGAUGAAAUUUCGUGAUACCAAAGGGACUCGGAAAAUGCGAAGGCAGCACUCUAGGUAGAAACUGACGUUGAAGGACGAAGGCACAGAGAACAAACAGGAUUAGAUACCCAAGUAGUCUUUGCAGUAAAUGAUGAAUGCCAUAGGUCGGUGUGCAACUUCGAUAUUUGUAACCAAUAUAAGUAUUGGAAUUUGAUCUAUAAAUGAAAGUGUAAGCAUUUCACCUCAAGAGUAAUGUGGCAACGCAGGAACUGAAAUCACUAGACCGUUUCUGACACCAGUAGUGAAGUAUGUUGUUUAAUUCGAUGAUCCACGAAAAACCUUACCACAAUUUGAAUAAUUAUAUUACAGGAGUUGCACGGCUGUUUCCAGUUAAUGUUGUGAAACUGUGAUUUACAUGAAAUUAACGUAAUCCCUGGCUUUAUUUUUGCAAGCUUAAUAGCUAUUAUGAUAAAGUAUUCGAUCCUAAAAAUUUGGAAAGAGAAAGGGGACAAAGACAAGUCAUCAUGGCCUUGAUAUUGUGGGCUAUAGACGUGCCACAUAUGCCUAAACAAAGAGAUGCAAGAAUGUGAAUUUGAGCUAAUCUCAAAAAAUAGGAUAUAUAUUUUAAGGAUUAUAGUCUGAAAUUCGACUAUGUGAAUAAGUAAUUACUAGUAAUCGUGAAUCACCAUGUCACGGUGAAUAUACCUUGGAUUGGUACUAACCACUCGUCACAUGCUGAAAGGAGCAUGCGCAAUAAGUUUGCUUUCUUAGUAACAAGUAAAAAAAAUAAGUAAGUUUUAUAUAUUCUUUUAUUGGGAAUCUUCGUAUGCGUGGCUCUAAUUAGUGUUAAGUUGAAAUACAGUACGUGGGGGGGAAACUGUGGG
rnacentral:rRNA from 1 species